rnacentral:rRNA from 1 species
UUCUGGUUGAUCCUGCCGGACCUGACUGCUAUCGGAUUGAUACUAAGCCAUGCGAGUCUUUGUAGUAAUACAAGGCAGACGGCUCAGUAACGCGUAGUCAACCUACCCUAUGGACGGGAAUAAUCUCGGGAAACUGAGCAUAAUACCCGGCGUACCAUCAUGCCUGGAAUGGUUGGUGGUUAAAAUGAUUCGUCGCCGUAGGAUGGGACUGCGACCUAUCAGCUUGUUGGUGGGGUAAAGGCCCACCAAGGCGAUUACAGGUACGGGCUCUGAGAGGAGAAGCCUGGAGAUGGGUACUGAGACACGGACCCAGGCCCUAUGGGGCGCAGCAGGCGAGAAAACUUUGCAAUGUGCGAAAGCACGACAAGGUUAAUCCGAGUGAUUUCUGCUAAAGGAAUCUUUUGCCAGUUCUAAAAAUACUAGUGAAUAAGGGGUGGGCAAGUUCUGGUGUCAGCCGCCGCGGUAAAACCAGCACCUCAAGUGGUCAGGAGGAUUAUUGGGCCUAAAGCAUCCGUAGCCUGCUCUGUAAGUUUUCGGUUAAAUCUAUAUGCUCAACGUAUAGGCCGCCGAAAAUACUGCAGUGCUAGGAAGUGGGAGAGGUAGACGGUACUUGGUAGAAAGGGGUAAAAUCCUUUGAUCUAUCGAUGACCACCUGUGGCGAAGGCGGUCUACCAGAACACGCUCGACGGUGAGGGAUGAAAGCUGGGGGAGCAAACCGGAUUAGAUACCCGGGUAGUCCCAGCUGUAAACGAUGCAGACUCGAUGAUGCAUUGGCAUAUAGCCAGUGCAGUGUCGCAGGGAAGCCGUUAAGUCUGCCGCCUGGGAAGUACGUACGCAAGUAUGAAACUUAAAGGAAUUGGCGGGGGAGCACCACAAGGGGUGAAGCCUGCGGUUCAAUUGGACUCAACGCCGGGA